rnacentral:lncRNA from 1 species
AUUGGCUUGCACGGUACUAUGCUACGAUCGACUGUGGAGCGAGGACGGUGACGUUCCGCGAGCCAGGUCAGGAGGAGUUUACUUUCAGAGGCUGCAGGAGUACGCUAUUUGCCACCUGGAUAUCUUCGGCGAGGGCUCGACAGAUGCUGAGUAGCGGGUGUAUCGCUUUCCUAGCGACUGUUGUGGAGGUACCUACGGCGGCGCCGGGACUUGAGGACAUCCCAGUAGUCCGCGAGUUUCCGGACGUAUUUCUCCCUGAGUUGACAACGUUGCCGCCGGAAAGGGAGAUUGAGUUUGUGAUUGAUGUAGUUCCUGGAACUGCACCAAUCUCAAAGGUACCUUAUCGGAUGGCGCCGGCAGAGCUGAGAGAGCUAAAGGCACAGCUUCAGGAUUUGAUAGAUAAAGGGUUUGUGAGACCCAGUGUGUCGCCUUGGGGAGCGCCAGUGCUAUUUGUAAAGAAGAAAGAUGGUUCGCUCAGGUUAUGUGUAGAUUACCGGGAGCUGAAUAAAGUGACCAUCAAAAAUAAGUAUCCCUUGCCGCGCAUUGAUGAUUUGUUUGAUCAGCUGCAGGGAUCUUAUGUCUUCUCGAAGAUUGAUCUCCAGUCAGGUUACCACCAGCUGAGGGUGAGGGCCGAGGAUGUUCCCAAGACCGCUUUUCGGACUCGGUACGGGCAUUAUGAAUUUACAGUGAUGCCUUUUGGAUUGACAAAUGCCCCUGCCGCAUUCAUGGAUUUGAUGAACAGAGUGUUCAAGCCGUUCUUGGAUAGAUUUGUGGUAGUCUUCAUCGACGACAUCCUGAUAUACUCCCGGAGUGAUGCUGAGCAUGAGGAGCACUUGAGGAUUGUGCUACAGCUUCUGCGAGAGAAGAAGCUGUAUGCCAAGUUGAAGAAGUGCGAGUUCUGGCUACGGGAGGUUGCUUUCUUGGGCCACGUGAUUUCAGCCGAGGGCGUAGCAGUGGACCCGAAGAAGAUUGAGGCGAUUCGAGAUUGGCCUAGACCGACGACGGUGAUUGAGGUACGGAGCUUCCUGGGACUGGCAGGAUAUUACCGUCGGUUUGUGGAAGGCUUUGCGAAGCUUUCCACACUCCUCACACGCUUGACGCGGAAGGAGAUUCGUUUUGUUUGGAGCGAUGACUGUCAGAGGAGCUUUGACGAGUUGAGACUGAGGUUGACAUCAGCUCCUAUCCUUGCCCUUCCGGUGAUGGGGGAUAGAUUUGUGAUCUACAGUGAUGCAUCGCACAGUGGACUUGGUUGCGUGCUGAUGCAGCAUGGUAGGGUGAUUGCUUAUGCUUCACGGCAAUUAAAGGAUUUUGAGAAGAAUUACCCUACGCAUGACUUGGAGCUUGCCGCGGUGGUUUCUGCUUUGAAGCUCUGGCGGCAUUACUUGUACGGCGAGCACUGCGAGGUCUUCACCGAUCAUCAAAGUCUCAAGUAUCUGUUCACACAAAGGGAGCUGAAUCUGAGGCAGCGCCGGUGGUUAGAGUUACUGAAGGACUAUGACAUUAGUAUUCAGUAUCAUCCCGGCAGGGCGAAUGUUGUGGCAGAUGCGUUGAGCAGGAAGUCAAUGCAGAGCCUGAGUUUGAUGAUUACUGAGCAGAGACCCCUCCUCGAGGAGCUUCAGCGGCUGGGACUCGAGAUAGUACCCCCUGGGUCUACGGCGAGGCUGACGUCUCUAGUUUUACAGCCGACUCUGUUAGAUAGGAUCCGAGAGAAACAGAGUGGAGAUCCGUACUUGUUGAGGAUUAGAGAGCAGCUAGACAGGGGGCAGGCUGAGGGUUUUGCUUUGGACAGUUCGGGAGUACUACGGUACAGGGACCGACUGUGUGUGCCUAUGGAUUCUGAGAUCCGAUCAGACAUUCUGAGAGAGGCUCAUUGUUCUCCUUAUACGGUUCACCCAGAUGGAACCAAGAUGUAUAAGGACUUAAAGGCACGGUUUUGGUGGAAUGGUAUGAAGAGGGACAUUGGCAGAUUUGUGGCUCAGUGUCUGACUUGUCAACAGGUAUAGGCAGAGCAUCAGGUACCUGCUGGCAAGCUUCAGAGUCUGCCAGUGCCCGAGUGGAAGUGGGAGUACAUCACGGUGGAUUUCGUCGUUGGUUUGCCUAGAGCGCAGGGUGGCUUUGACGCGAUUUGGGUUAUAGUGGACAGACUGACCAAGUCUGCUCACUUCCUAGUAGUUCAGACUACCUGGUCCAGAGAGAGACUCGCUCAGUUAUACCUGGACGAGAUUGUUAGGUUGCACGGUGUGCCAAUGUCGAUUGUGUCAGACAGAGAUCCGAGGUUUGUAUCCCAGUUUUGGAGGAGCCUUCAGACCGCCUUGGGCACUCAGCUGCAUUUUAGCACGGCGUUCCACCCACAGACAGAUGGUCAGUCAGAGCGGACCAUACAGACUUUAGAGGACAUGCUGAGGGCAUGCGUCCUGGAUUUUGGAGGAGGGUGGUAUCGACAUGUGAGACUGGUUGAGUUUGCGUACAACAACAGCUAUCAAACGAGCAUUCAGAUGGCUCCGUUUGAGGCGUUGUAUGGACGCAGAUGUUGAUCCCCCCUGUUUUGGAGCGAUGUGGGUGAGCGGAGGACACUUGGACCGGAGAUCUUACUUGAGGCUGAGGAAAAGGUGAGAGUCGUUCGACGACACCUUUUGACAGCUCAGAGCCGCCAGAGGAGCUACGCCGAUACCAGGAGACGAGACUUAGAGUUUCAGGUUGGAGAUCAUGUUUUCCUCAAAGUCUCGCCGUCCAGAGGUAUUCGCCGAUUUGGAGUGCGUGGAAAGCUCAGUCCACGUUUCGUUGGCCCUUUCGAGGUAUUGGAGCGAGUUGGACCAGUUGCAUACCGGAUUGCUCUACCACCCCGACUAGCUGGGGUUCAUGAUGUGUUCCACGUCUCGGCUCUGAGGAGAUAUGUUUUCGAUCCUUCUCACGUGAUUCACUUCACUCCACUAGAGAUUGGCGAGGAUUUGAGAUACGAGGAGCGACCGGUGCGGAUUCUUGCUCGCGAGACGAAGGAAUUGCGCAACCGGGUCAUCCCGUAUGUGAAAGUGCAGUGGAGCAAUCAUGAGGAGCGGGAGGCGACUUGGGAGCCUGAGACAGUGAUGAGGGAGUCCUACCCCGACUUGUUCGUUGUCCCGUCUUAAGGUAUGUUUUAAGUUUCGAGGACGAAACUUUUUAUAGUGGGGGAGGAUGUAGUAUCCUUAUUUCUUUAUCUUUUCUUUUCCUUUUUCUUUUUAUUUCUUUUGAGUUGGUAAGCUAGCUGGGGAUAAGGAUGCCACGUGCACCUUACCCCCAAGCAUGCUUAUCACCUUAAUACUUGUGCAUAGUUUAUAUAUAGUUCAUGAGCCUCUACGCAUAUAGUUCUUGAGUCGUACGUAGAGGAGGAGCUCGGGUGGUGUGGAGUUUCGUCGACGUUGCGCAGCGGUGCCGUUCGAGCGUGUGUUCGUCGUCGUAGCAUCGCGAGGGGGGCCGGGUGAGGGUCCGAUUUCGCUGUUUUUGUUGUCGCGCCGGAUUGUGAUUAGCGUUUGAGGUGGGUUACAUCGGCUUUACUCCUAAGUUCUUAUUGGCCGACAUGUAUAGAUCUUGAUUUCGGUAAUUAAUUUAGCUCAAAUUCAUGGACUAUAUGUAGAUUGCGAAAUCUGAAUUUUGGAGCAUAUUUUAUAAAUUAAGUAGAUCAUACAUGUUGUACUUGAAAAUUGAAUUAGGAGAAAACCUGCGAUUUGGACCUGUCACCAGUUUUAACUACCUGAUUUAGCUCUAGGAGCCGUUAGAAAAUUGUAUUGUCGCAGUUUCUUCGAGACGAGUACUCCAGGUAGUUUAGAAUGUAUUUACACUCGUGCUGGUUCGCCGAGUGGAUUUUUACAGGGUCAUUCAGGUUGUUUCGGACUUUUGGGUGCCGUCAGAGUUGACGGUGGACCCGUAUCGCCUUUUUGGGCGUCAGAUUGUGCCGAGGGCACGUUACCUAUUGGUUGUUAGACCAGUUUGAGUCGAUUACUUGACGUUGGCUAGUUGGAGCCUGUUUGAGCUCGACAGAGAUACGCUGCAUACUCGGUUGGGUCAGUGCUAUAGAGAGGUUAUUCGAGGAUCUGUACGUUCCAGAGGGGGAGCAGGUACCUUUGGGAGUACACUGUUUGUCAGGUGAUGCACGUGACUGGUGGCGGAGAGUAAGGUGAGACCAGAGACUGGAGGCAGCGCAGCUGAGGUGGGACGAGUUCUGUGGAAUGCUGUAUGGGAUGUAUUUUCCCAACAGCAUGAAGCAGAAGGUUGAGGAGGAUUUGAAGAGGAUCCAACAGGGCGAGCGGACAGUUCAGGAGUAUGUUCGGGAGUUUACUAGACUCCUGAACUGUGUUCCGUUCGUGGCCAGAGACGAGGCACAUAGGGUCUACUUGUUCGAGCAGGGUUUGAGACCCGAUCUGUUCAGGUUCGUUAGGGCGCAGAGGUCGAUGACUUUGGACACGUCCAUUGAGCAGGCACUAUGGGAGGAGAGAGGAGAGGUGUCACUGCGAGAGAGGGCUCAGGGGCCGGGACAGACUCAGGACAGGAAGCGUCCAGCUCCAGACGACGGAGGCCAGUCGAGUAGCAGGCGUCCACCGAGACCUCCACGAUCGCGUUCUCAGGGUCGUGGGUUCUCGGGACGUCAGCGAUCCAGAGACUCCCGUUAGAGAGGACAGCCUGAGAGGGCGCCGCAGUGUGUGAUCUGUGGAGGACCACACUGGCCCAGACAGUGUGAGCAGAGGGAGGGCCGGUGCUACGGAUGUGGUCAGCUGGGACACAUGAGGGCAGCUUGUCCCAGAGCAGCAUCUCCAGCACCAUCAUCUGCUUCAGCUCCACCAGCACCUCAGCAGACUUACAGAGCAGCACCGAGUUACCGCCAGGAGGAUAGGUCGUCCAUGCCGCGACAGGGUGAGCGUCGACAGCAGGCUCCGAGUGGUAGAGUCUAUGCAGCUCAGGUGGAGGACUCUACAGCAGCCGACCGAGUGGUGGCAGGUAUCACUUUGAUUUCUGGCAUUAGAGUUCGCACUCUUUUUGAUACUGGUGCAUCACAUUCCUUUGUUAGCCGAGCAUUUGCAUUGUUGCAUGGUCUAGAGUUAGGGGCAUUGUCACAGGCACGAGAGGUGCAGAUCCCGGACCAUAUUUUACAGGUUGCGGAGUGUUGUUGGUCGUGUCCGGUGCAGUUGGACUCGUGGGUCAUGCCCGCAGACCUGUUGGUGUUAGGGCAGCUGCAGGACUUCGACGUCGUGCUCGGUAAGGAUUGGCUUGCACGGUACUAUGCUACGAUCGACUGUGGAGCGAGGACGGUGACGUUCCGCGAGCCAGGUCAGGAGGAGUUUACUUUCAGAGGCUGCAGGAGUACGCUAUUUGCCACCUGGAUAUCUUCGGCGAGGGCUCGACAGAUGCUGAGUAGCGGGUGUAUCGCUUUCCUAGCGACUGUUGUGGAGGUACCUACGGCGGCGCCGGGACUUGAGGACAUCCCAGU